rnacentral:rRNA from 1 species
UGGCGAACGGGUGAGUAUCACGUGACCAACCUGCCUCUUACAUUGGGACAACCAAAAGAAAUUCUGGCUAAUACCAAAUACUCCGCACAUAUCACAUGAUGUAUGCGGGAAAGCUUUUGCGGUAAGAGAUGGGGUCGCGGCCCAUUAGGUAGACGGCGGGGUAGAAGCCCACCGUGCCGAUGAUGGGUAGCCGGGUUGAGAGACCGACCGGCCACAUUGGGACUGAGAUACGGCCCAGACUCCUACGGGAGGCAGCAGGG